UACGUAGGUGGCAAGCGUUGUCCGGAUUUACUGGGCGUAAAGAGCGCGCAGGCGGUCGUUCAAGUCGCGUGUGAAAGCCCCCGGCUCAACUGGGGAGGGUCACGCGAUACUGAUCGACUCGAAGGCAGGAGAGGGAAGUGGAAUUCCCGGUGUAGUGGUGAAAUGCGUAGAUAUCAGGAGGAACACCGAUUGCGAAGGCAGCUCGCUGGGACGUGACUGACGCUGAGACGCGAAAGCGUGGGGAGCAAACAGG
rnacentral:rRNA from 1 species